rnacentral:tRNA from 1 species
GCGCCAAUGGUGUAGUGGUAACAUUAAAGCUUCCCAACAGGUCUGCUUUAGCCAGGGGUUCGAUUCCCCUUUGGCGCA